UACGUAGGUGGCAAGCGUUGUCCGGAUUUAUUGGGUUUAAAGGGUGCGUAGGCGGCUUAAUAAGUCAGUGGUGAAAGCCGAUCGCUUAACGAUCGAACUGCCAUUGAUACUGCUAGGCUUGAGUAUAGUUGAGGUAGGCGGAAUUGACAGUGUAGCGGUGAAAUGCAUAGAUAUUGUCAAGAACACCAAUUGCGAAGGCAGCUUACUAAAGUAUAACUGACGCUGAGGCACGAAAGUGCGGGGAUCAAACAGGA
rnacentral:rRNA from 1 species